rnacentral:rRNA from 1 species
CGUAGGGGGCGAGCGUUGUCCGAAUUUACUGGGCGUAAAGCGCGCGUAGGCGGGUUAUUAAGUUGGUGGUGAAAUCCCGGGGCUCAACCCCCGGAACUGCCUCCAAAACUGGUAGCCUUGAGGUAUGGAGAGGGAAGUGGAAUUCCAGGUGUAGCGGUGAAAUGCGUAGAUAUCUGGAGGAACACCCGUGGCGAAGGCGGCUUCCUGGCCAUAUCCUGACGCUGAGGUGCGAAAGCUAGGGGAGCGAACGGGAUUAGAUACCCCGGUAGUCCUAGCCGUAAACGAUGGAUACUAGGUGUUAGAGGUAUCGACCCCUCUAGUGCCGCAGCUAACGCAUUAAGUAUCCCGCCUGGGGAGUACGACCGCAAGGUUG